rnacentral:rRNA from 1 species
UUAUACAUGCAAGUCGAACGAAGUAGCAAUACUUAGUGGCAGACGGGUGAGUAACAUGUAGGUAUCUUCCCUUUGGUGAGGAAUAACACGAGGAAACUUGUGCUAAUACCUCAUAAGUCUUUACGGAGAAAGCUUUAUGCGCCAAAGGAUGAGCCUGCACUUGAUUAGUUUGUUGGUGGGGUAAUGGCCUACCAAGACUUUGAUCAAUAGCUGAUCUGAGAGGAUGAUCAGCCACAUUGGGACUGAGACACGGCCCAAACUCUUACGGAAGGCAGCAGUAGGGAAUCUUGGACAAUGGGCGAAAGCCUGAUCCAGCCAUGCCGCGUGAGUGAUGAAGGCCCUAGGGUUGUAAAACUCUUUCGCCAGGGAAGAUAAUGACGGUACCUGGUAAA